rnacentral:tRNA from 1 species
GUCUUUGUAGCUCAGGUGGGAGAGCGCUGGCCUCAUAAGCCAGGUGCGGCAGUUCAACUCUGCCCAAAGACA